rnacentral:rRNA from 1 species
GAACGCUGGCGGCAGGCCUAACACAUGCAAGUCGAACGGUAACAGGAAGCAGCUUGCUGCUUCGCUGACGAGUGGCGGACGGGUGAGUAAUGUCUGGGAAACUGCCUGAUGAGGGGGAUAACUACUGGAAACGGUAGCUAAUACCGCAUAACGUCGCAAGACCAAAGAGGGGGACCUUCGGGCCUCUUGCCAUCAGAUGUGCCCAGAUGGGAUUAGCUUGUUGGUGGGGUAACGGCUCACCAAGGCGACGAUCCCUAGCUGGUCUGAGAGGAUGACCCAGCCACACUGGAACUGAGACACGGUCCAGACUCCUACGGGAGGCAGCAGUGGGGAAUAUUGCACAAUGGGCGCAAGCCUGAUGCAGCCAUGCCGCGUGUAUGAAGAAGGCCUUCGGGUUGUAAAGUACUUUCAGCGGGGAGGAAGGUGUUGUGGUUAAUAACCGCAGCAAUUGACGUUACCCGCAGAAGAAGCACCGGCUAACUCCGUGCCAGCCGCUGC